UACGUAGGGUGCAAGCGUUAAUCGGAAUUACUGGGCGUAAAGCGUGCGCAGGCGGUUUUGUAAGUCUGAUGUGAAAUCCCCGGGCUCAACCUGGGAACUGCAUUGGAGACUGCAAGGCUAGAGUGUGUCAGAGGGGGGUAGAAUUCCACGUGUAGCAGUGAAAUGCGUAGAUAUGUGGAGGAAUACCGAUGGCGAAGGCAGCCCCCUGGGAUAACACUGACGCUCAUGCACGAAAGCGUGGGGAGCAAACAGG
rnacentral:rRNA from 1 species